GUAUGAAUGUGUAUCUGAGCUUUGCUAAAUCUGAAGAUGUCAGAAGAGCCUGUAUUCCACACGUGGGCAUUGUGCAGCCUCUGAGAAGACGAGCAUUCCUCAAGCAAGCAUGGAAGCAAAUGUCAUCCGCAGUUCUGUGUCUGACAGAAAGGUCAGGUUUCUUCUGGAAGAGGCUGUGCUGCAGGAUGCCUGGUACCUCUCUGCUUGGCUGUCACAGGAAGCAACACUCGCCAGCACCAAAUGCAGCACCAACAAAUGUGUCAGGCAUUCAAACCACUGGUAUGCCGGGAAAAUGGAGCCUCCAGGAGCAACACAGGGACAUCUGUGGAAAUCCUCACUGAACCGGGAGAUAAUGUACAUGUGUGCUUACUGAAAUCAGCGUUUGGGUGGAGUAUAAAUCCCAAUUUUUAUAGGUACUCUGGUGGAUCUGUUGUCCUGUGUGUCCAUUACAGCCCUAAAUACCUGUAUGGUGUAAUUACUGGAAGAACAAAGUCAGUUACUGGAAGAUUACUGCCAUGGUAAUUAAGGAGUUACAGAAAAACAAGGAGCUUUCACCAAUUACUGGGAGAGAUGUCACCCCUGGGGGAAGGCAAAGUGACUGCAGAAGCAUGGCCAUGGAGGGAUGUCAUCAGCCUGAUUAGCAUCAAAGAUCACAAGUUGCAGAGAGAGACCACUAUCCUUCUUGGACCUCCCAAGCAAGUUGCAGGAGCCUGGGGAACAGGGCAGGGGCCUCAGCUCUCCCAGUCAGAGCUCCUGGAGGCAAAGGGAUCAUGCCACAAGAGGACCACUGCGAGGAUUUCUCAGUUCUGGCCAUGCCGCAUGUUAUUACCACUUUUCUUUUCAGGAGCCAUCUCAUGCUGGCAUAUCCAUCUGUUUAUUGUGUUUCCUGUGUUCCUGCAAGGCAGGGCUUUGCUGGCCUUCUGACGGUGUCUGAGUGCAUUCACAGAUGAGAAGAAGGUGUGGAAAAAAUACCCUUUACCUGAAGCAGACUGAGAUUCCUGCAGUUGCUGGGCUGGCAGCCCACAGAUGGAUGAAUUUCCCCAUUCUCUUGUGCUGGAGGCACAAGCUGCAUUUUUGCAGGCUGUGGGAGCCACGGGAUCGUGGGUCUCUGUAAACCUGCUGGAUUUCAAGCAGCAAUAAAGUCCACUUUGAGCCGUGUCUAUCUAUGCCU
rnacentral:lncRNA from 1 species